rnacentral:lncRNA from 1 species
UGGUCAUUUAAAAGGAAAGUAGUAGAGGUGGAAUUCUACACAGUGCACCUUUAAUAUAAUGAAUGUUGUAGAAAGAGCUGAUUGUCAAAACAGCACUGAAUGAUAGAUGAGGCUUUACGUGGUUUUCCCCCUCAUUUUCAGUGUUGGAUGACCAUGGGCUUUUGCGGCGCUAUAGCGGACAAUCAAUUGUUUUUUGCAAAUAGGAAAAGAACAGACGUUUUACCUCAACUAAGAACCCAUUCGAUCUAGACCUGGGAGCAAUCAUGGUUGACUGACGUGCUAAGGACCAUGCUUGUUUACUGGCGCCAUGCUCUUGACCACUAGGCUACUUGCCACCCCACUUGCCUGCAUCAAUAUGCAACAGUAUAUUUGCAGAGAGUUUCGCAGAAAAAUUCUAUUGGAGGAUGUUCUGUAGGGCAAUGCCUCUAAUCUUUGCCUAUUUUUGUUCUGUUUUUCACGGGAAGUCACCCACUGAGUGAAAAUCGGUAUACUUGUCGUUGUGGAAGGAGCUGCAGCAGAUGACCCAAUGCCAGUUGACAGUGUGGACGUUGGCCUUCCUUGUCGUUGUGGAUGGAGCUGCAGCAGAUGACCCAAUGCCAGCUGACAAUGUGGACGUUGCCCUUGUGAUAGAAGAGCAGAGUUCCCAUUGUCUUGAAAUCACCAUAAAUCCAGAGAAUGCCAGACUUUGAUAAAGUUUGAUGACAAAAUUUGCCCACGAGAAGGACCGUCGCUCCACCUUCCUGUUCAAGAGAGCACAGCACAACAAGGCCUACCCCUCUUCCCUGUCAUCGAUGUCCAACCGGCAAACAUGGUGAGGCGCCUCCUGAAGGUUCGACCACUGGGCAGGGGAUUCCAAUACCUGGUAGACUGGGAGGGUUAUGGCCCAGAGGAGAGGUGCUGUGUCCCCGCCAGGGACAUUCUGGACCCAGACCUCAUCGCUGAGUUCCAAUGUCGGCACCCUGGUCAACCAGGACCUGAGCCCUAGGACCAUGCCUCAGAACUACCUGGCCUGAUGACUCCUUGCUGUCCCCAGUCCACUUGGUCGUGCUGCUGCUCCAGUUUCAACUGUUCUGCCUGUGGCUAUGGAACCCUGACCUGUUCACCGGACGUGCUACCUUGUCCCAGACCUGCUAUUUUCAACUCUCUAGAGACAGCAGGUGCGGUAGAGAAACUGAAUGAUCGGAUAUGAAAAGCCAACUGACAUUUACUCCUGAGGUGCUGACUUGUUGCACCCUCUACAACCACUCAGAGUAUUAUUAUCUGACCCUGCUGGUCAUCUAUGAACAUUUUAACAUCUUGGCCAUGUUCUGUUAUAAUCUCCACCAGGCACAGCCAGAAGAGGACUGCCCACUCAUAGCCUCUCUAGGUUUCUUCGUAGGUUCUGGCCUUUCUAGGGAGUUUUUCCUAGCCACCAUGCUUCUACACCUGCAUUGCUUGCUGUUUGGGGUUUUAGGCUGGGUUUCUGAGUGCUACGAGUGCUACGGGGUGGUAGUCAUAGUUCAGUUAUCUUUUCCUUCUUGGGUACAGGAACAAUGGUAGCCAUCUUGAAGCAUGUGGGGACAACAGACUGGGAUAGGGAGCGAUUGAAUAUGUCCGUAAACACACCAGCCAGCUGGUCUGCGCAUGCUUUGAGGACGCGAUUAGGGAUGCCGUCUGGGCCAGCAGCCUUACGAGGGUUAACAUGUUUAAAUGUUUUACUCACGUC